GGUCCGCUGGCUCAAUGGUAGAGCGUCUGACUACGAAGCUUAGAGCCAAACAACUCUAGUGUCAGCAAUCAGGAGAUUCUAGGUUCGACCCUGGGUGGAUCG